rnacentral:tRNA from 1 species
GGGGAUGUAGCUCAGUGGUCUAAAGCAUGCCUAGCAUGCAUGAGGCCCUGGGUUCAAUCCCCCAGCAGUCCCC